AAUGAGCCAUCAUAAUGGGAGGAUACUCAAACAGACCUGGAAGAGUCUACCUGAAGAACUGGGCUCCUUCUAAAAGCCAUCACUAGCUUGAGAGUCAUACUCCUGAAUAUGACUGGGAAGGGACAGUCGCCCGUCCUUCGCACCUAGAGAACUGUUCUUGGGGUCUACGGAAGACAGAUAACAUUGAAUGCUGCAGAGAUAAUGUGACUUGUCCAAAGAGCCG